rnacentral:lncRNA from 10 species
GUAUGUUAUGAGCAUGUUUUUGUGUGUGUGUUAACCUUUUCCUUAAGUAAUGCUGAUUACUGUUGGGUUCUGUUUAAAGGUAAUCCACAUUUUGGUUUUUCCAUUUUCAUCAGGGUUAUCUAGAGUUCCACUCAAAGACCACACAUCAGCUGAAUCAUAGUAACCCACCCAGUUUUUAUCACAAUUUUAUAAAUCUGAAAAAAAUCUCAAAGAAAUCAGAAUAAAAAGUCUUCCGUUUCUGUUCUAAGAAAUCUUUGAGUGCCCUGGAGCAAGUGGAGCUACUCAUCCUUUACGUUCUUUAUAAAGUACACAGAAAUGCUCUCCAUACCUUGCCACUGCUGCUGGGAAGGAACAGGGGAGGAGUGACAUUGAGAUUCAAGACUAUUUUUCCUACCUCUUCAGUGCCUCUUUCAGCCAUAUGAAGUUAAAACCAGGUCUCAUUCUGUCAUUGAGGCUGAAGUGCAGUAGCACAAUCUCAGCUCACUGCAGCCUCUACCUUCAAGGUUCAAGCAAUUCUUCCACCUCAGCUUCCUGAGUAGCUGGGACUACAGUUCAUCUUCCAUUAUAUUUGACCAAUUUUGGUUCAUCUUCUAUUAGAUUUGACUGAAACCCCUGCAGCUGCAAAAAGUCUAAUUCCAGGGGAGAAGAGGAGAGUAAAAGUGAAGAAGAAAGAGGCAAAACAAGUGACUAGACCACACGCUGAACAAGUUGUAGCUCUCAUUUACUUUUCAGAGAAUGUAAAAUGUUACAACUGCUUUGGAUAACAGUUUGGCAAUUUCUUUAAAAGUUAAGCAUAUAUAUAUAUAUAUAUAUAUAUAUAUAAUCAUAUAAUCUAGCCAUUUCACACAUCAGAAUUUACCCUCAUCCCCAAAUAAAAGCACAAAGAUGUGAAUGCCCAUAGCAGCUGCAUGUGUAAUAACUCAAAACUAUAAAAAACUCAAACACUCAUCAACAGUGAAUAAUUAAACAAAUUGUUUACAUUGCAAAAACAUUAUCAGUUGAAAGGAAUGAGCUACUGGUAGCAGCAACAAGGUACACAAAUCUAGAAAUAAUUAUGCUGAGGAAGAGAAGCCAGAAAAAUAUAAUAUAUAUUAUAUUAUCUCAUAUAUAUUAAAGAAUAGAGAAUGCAAACUAAUCUAUAGUGACAGAAAACAAAUCAGUGGCAAUCUGGGAAUGAGGGUAAGGGGUAAGAGGAAGGGAUUAAAAUGGGGCAUGAGUAAAAUUUUGGAAGUGAUAAGUAUAUUUAUUAUCUUGACUGGUUAUGGUUUUACAGAUACAUACUUAACGGUGAAAACUGGCAGAUUGUACAUUUUAAUAUGCAUAGUUUAUGAAAUGUCAAUUAUAUCUCAAUAAAUAUUAAGAUUAUAUAAGAAUAAUCUAGAGAAAUAAAACAUUUUUAAAAAAAUUAUAGUAAGAGUUGUUCUCUAACCAUUGUAGUUAAUCAGUUUUACUAAAGAAUAACCACAUAUAAAACCUUGUUCCCUUAUUUACAGAAAGUUUCUCCCGUACAGUUUGUACACUGUCUAUUCAUGUGAGCUAAUGCUUUAAAAAUUAACAUAUUAAUUUUCCUAUAUUAUAUGAACCUAGUGUUUUAUCCCAAUAAAUUAAUCAUCACAUUUUCUUUAUAGGUGUUUUUUUGUGGAAAAAAUUUAAUCAACCCAUAUCAUUUUUGUGUGCGAUCUUUCCUUAGUGAACAUUAAAUCUAAUCAUUUGUUAUUUGCAUUUGAAGUAAUUAUUUUAACAUGGGCUCUUUCCUAAGCACUUUGAAAAUUAGUCCUCUAAAGCCUUUUGUUGUAUAUAACUUUCUCUCUUGUGUUUUGUAUAAUUAUUAUUAUAUAGUAGUAUAAUUUAAAGGGGAAAUGUGCAAUAAACCCAUAUGCUUUAUUAUUAAAAGUAGGUACUGUAAGUUUUACUCCUAUGCCAAUUGGAUGGAAGAUCAAGAGUUGUGAUGAUCGGGAGGCUGAGGCAGGAGAAUGGCAUGAACCAGGGGGGCAGAGCUUGCGGUGAGCCGAGAUCGCACCACUGCACUCCAGCCUGGGUGACAGAGCGAGACUGUGUCUCAAAAAAUUAAAAAAUAAUAAUAAAAUAAAAUAAUAAAAAAAGAGUUGUGAUGAUCAUUUUCAGUUUUUAGUUUAACUGAAGAUAACAGAAACAGUCCAGAAUGGUCAAACUUUGACAUUUAUUAAAACAUUUAGAGACACUAAAACAUACAAACAAUUUUUGGUGGUUAAGACCAUGUGCUCUGGAAUAAGAAAUUGGUAUUUAAAUUCUUUCUAUUUACUGUUACAUUUAAGGCUUUGUUUAAAUGUUUAUGUGUAAAAAGAUCAAAAGCACUUUCAUAUAUUUCUUUAAAUAAUGUAUGCCAUUCAAUUUUUGCCGAAAGAGAUAAUAAAUCAGAGCAGACAAUGAAGA